rnacentral:rRNA from 1 species
UUAGGAAAGCGAGCGGCGGAUGGGUGAGUAACACGUGGGGAACCUGCCCCAUAGUCUGGGAUACCACUUGGAAACAGGUGCUAAUACCGGAUAAGAAAGCAGAUCGCAUGAUCAGCUUUUAAAAGGCGGCGUAAGCUGUCGCUAUGGGAUGGCCCCGCGGUGCAUUAGCUAGUUGGUAAGGUAAAGGCUUACCAAGGCGAUGAUGCAUAGCCGAGUUGAGAGACUGAUCGGCCACAUUGGGACUGAGACACGGCCCAAACUCCUACGGGAGGCAGCAGUAGGGAAUCUUCCACAAUGGACGCAAGUCUGAUGGAGCAACGCCGCGUGAGUGAAGAAGGUUUUCGGAUCGUAAAGCUCUGUUGUUGGUGAAGAAGGAUAGAGGUAGUAACUGGCCUUUAUUUGACGGUAAUCAACCAGAAAGUCACGGCUAACUACGUGCCAGCAGCCGCGGUAAUACGUAGGUGGCAAGCGUUGUCCGGAUUUAUCGGGCGUAAAGCGAGCGCAGGCGGAAGAAUAAGUCUGAUGUGAAAGCCCUCGGCUUAACCGAGGAACUGCAUCGGAAACUGUUUUUCUUGAGUGCAGAAGAGGAGAGUGGAACUCCAUGUGUAGCGGUGGAAUGCGUAGAUAUAUGGAAGAACACCAGUGGCGAAGGCGGCUCUCUGGUCUGCAACUGACGCUGAGGCUCGAAAGCAUGGGUUAGCGAACAGGAUUAGAUACCCUGGUAGUCCAUGCCGUAAACGAUGAGUGCUAAGUGUUGGGAAGGUUUUCCGCCUCUCAAUGCU